rfam:Cryptococcus dejecticola CBS 10117 unplaced genomic scaffold supercont1.2, whole genome shotgun sequence.
GGUUCCGUGGCCCAAUGGUUAAGGCAUUCGCCUUCUAGUUAUUCCUAGGCAGCGGAGGAUUGCGGGUUCGAUCCCCGCCGGGACUU